UACGUAGGGUCCGAGCGUUGUCCGGAAUUACUGGGCGUAAAGAGCUCGUAGGUGGUUUGUCGCGUUGUUCGUGAAAACUCACAGCUUAACUGUGGGCGUGCGGGCGAUACGGGCAGACUAGAGUACUGCAGGGGAGACUGGAAUUCCUGGUGUAGCGGUGGAAUGCGCAGAUAUCAGGAGGAACACCGGUGGCGAAGGCGGGUCUCUGGGCAGUAACU
rnacentral:rRNA from 1 species